AUUUAAUACUAUCUCUUACAGUUCUGGGUAUAGACAGGCUUAACUGGAUGGUUCUCACUUGGGGAUGUCUCACACAACUGCAGUCACAGUUAACAAGUGAUGGCAAGAGAUGUCUUGAGAACAUUUAUGUAGUCAAGACCACAAGAAGAACAUCCAAGAACUUGCUCAUUUUGUUCCUUUUAAGACCCAUCAUGGAUAAUAGUUUAUGAACUAAAAAAAAAAAAAAAAUUAUUGAUUAAUCAUGCCCAUGGUGAGAGAUUGCUUUUGCUACGCUCCGUGAUGAAGGGCACCAGCUUAUCCUACAGGACAUCAACACCGGCAAAGUCAGAGGCAGCAAGAAUUGACGUGGGGUUCUGUCUGUCCUUAUGGGUUCCAGCUCAUGCUCGCGGGUCCUGGCUUAUCCUUGCUUUUCCACUGCCUGCUCUGUGGACAAAAGCGAUCAUCUCCCACAAUCCUCUAAGCUAAAGCCUCCUAAAAUGUCUGCAGAGGAAGGUGAAAUUUACGUUGCAGAAUGAGCUCAUUUGCAGUCACCUGGCAAGAAAUUGACAGAGGUGGGAAACUGGAUAGAAGAAAAGAUACUGCUAUUCUCCUUAAGAAGUUCCAUGCUUCU